AAGCUCCCAGAGCCCUUGCACAGAAAAAGAAGCAUUUGCUCUGUGCAGCUAAGAAUCCAGCUUUUAAUUCUAUCUUUUCUUGUGUUUACAUAAACUUUCGUUUGCAUUUCAGAAGCCUUAUGGAAAGAUUCCUGUGGCUGACCCAGGAGUAGUGGUGAAUUUCUCCAUCAAGAGCUGCACUCGGGCAAUGGGAAGGGGAAAUCAUCCGAGCUUAGCAGGCUGGGAGGUCACCUGUGACUGUCACAGAAUCUAGGCUGCAGGAGCAGAUCUG
rnacentral:lncRNA from 10 species